GGCGAACGGGUGCGUAACACGUGGGUAACCUUCCCUCAUGUGGGGGAUAACCCGCCGAAAGGCGGGCUAAUACCGCAUAACAUUCCGAUGGCGCCUGCUGUUGGAAUCAAAGCCCGCAAGGGCGCAAGAGGAGGGACCCGCGGCCGAUUAGCUUGUUGGCGAGGUAAUGGCUCACCAAGGCAUUGAUCGGUAGCCGGACUGAGAGGUUGGCCGGCCACACUGGAACUGAGACACGGUCCAGACUCCUACGGGAGGCAGCAGUGGGGAAUCUUGCGCAAUGGGCGAAAGCCUGACGCAGCAACGCCGCGUGGGGGAUGAAGCUUCUCGGAGUGUAAACCCCUUUCGACCCGGACGAAGGCCCGCAAGGGCUUGACGGUACGGGUAUAAGAAGCCCCGGCUAACUACGUGCCAGCAGCCGCGGUAAAACGUAGGGGGCCAGCGUUGCUCGGAAUUACUGGGCGUAAAGGGUCCGUAGGCGGUGUGGCAAGUCGGUAGUGAAAUCUCUGGGCUU
rnacentral:rRNA from 1 species